UAAGGCUACAUUCCAAUCUCCAUGCGCCGAUUGGUUCUUUCCCCCCACCGCAAGACUGAAACACCACCACACUCGGUGGCCAGCAGCACUUAAAAAAUGGGUUUUCAACCUUGAUUCAAGGCCGUGUUCUGUUUCUGCCUAUUUCUUUGCUCAAAUCGCAGGUGCUGUGAGGACGUGAAGGAGGAGUGCACAACGUGGGGCGUGCAACGCGGGCUGGGGGUUGUGCCUGAUGUGCCUACGUGCAUGGUGGAGGGAUGCUGAAUGCGGAGCUGCAGUGCAAGGGGUAGCCUAGGGUUUGUUGUUUCUGAAAAAAAAAAUAUUUGGGCUUGUAUUGGGCUGCUGUAGGAUGGACUUGUAUUUAAUUUGUUUGUUUACUUUUUAUUUUGGUAUGGGCCUAGGCGAAAUUGGGCCACUACACGUGUUAUUAAACAAUUUUAAAAAAAUUAACUUAGAGAAAAAAACAAUUAUUAUCUGAUAAGAAAAUAAA